rnacentral:rRNA from 1 species
CAGCAGCCACGGGAAUACGAAGGGUGCAAGCGUUACUCGGAAUUACUGGGCGUAAAGCGUGCGUAGGUGGUGGUUUAAGUCCGUUGUGAAAGCCCUGGGCUCAACCUGGGAAUUGCAGUGGAUACUGGGUCACUAGAGUGUGGUAGAGGAUAGUGGAAUUUCCGGUGUAGCAGUGAAAUGCGUAGAGAUCGGAAGGAACAUCUGUGGCGAAGGCGACUAUCUGGGCCAACACUGACACUGAGGCACGAAAGCGUGGGGAGCAAACAGGAUUAGAUACCCCGGUAGUCCCUGUCUCUAUACA